rnacentral:pre_miRNA from 14 species
UUGUGAUAAAAGUGCAAGGUGCAGAAUUAUUUUUGCAAUAUGUUCCUGAAUAUGUAAUCUAAGUGUAUUGGGGACAUUUUGCAUCCAUAGUUUUGUAUCGAUAUGUAGAGAAAAGGCU